rnacentral:rRNA from 1 species
GAGACUCUGUGCGCGUGCAUAUCAAUAAGCGGAGGAAAAGAAACUAACAAGGAUUCCCUUAGUAACGGCGAGUGAAGCGGGAAGAGCUCAAAUUUGAAAUCUUCAAGGUUCUACCUUGACGAAUUGUAGUUUAUAGAAGUGUUUUCUGUUAGUAGGAGUGGCAAAAGUUCUUUGGAAUAGGACAUCAUAGAGGGUGAGAAUCCCGUAUUUGGUCAUUCUCUUCCUAGCUUUGUGAUACACUUUCAACGAGUCGGAUUGUUUGGGAAUGCAGUCCAAAAUGGGUGGUAAAUUUCAUCUAAAGCUAAAUAUUGGCGAGAGACCGAUAGCGAACAAGUACCGUGAGGGAAAGAUGAAAAGAACUUUGAAAAGAGAGUUAAACAGUACGUGAAAUUGUCAAAAGGGAAGCGUUUGACACCAGUGUUGUUUUUCCGAAAAUCAAUUACGAAUGUUUUGUUUUUAAGGAAGUUAUGGACUUCAUCGGCUUGCUCCUUUCUUUACGAAACUUUCUUAAUGCACUUUUCGGUUAACAAGUCAACAUCAAUUUCUUUUGUUGUAAAAGGGUAUGAGGAAGGUGGCUUUCUUUUCGGAGAAAGUGUUUAUAGCCUUGUGCCUCUACAAUCGGAGAGAUUGAGGUCUGCAGCGUAGAUCCUUCGGGGUUAGAUACGUUUGUGCUAAGUUAUAGCUUUUCAUAGACAACUUGUUGACUAUGAUUUAAUCAUUGUAGCUUACUCGCUUACUGCUAUUUUACCUACGCUUAGGAUGUUGAUCUGUAGUGCGUGCGC